CUUUUGUCUCCUCCUCUCUUGCUUUGCUGAAUGCAGUCUCAUUUCAGCGCUUCCCUGAAAUCAUGAUGGAUGAUGUCCUCUAUUACAUACUUAUCAAGCAAUGCCCUGAUGUACUCAGAGAAUUCAAACACAUUUGUCAGGCUCAAGCCUUCCCCCAUGAAUGCAGCAGUCAGUCAGCAGGUCCCGGUGAUAUCUGCUCCAGGUUUGGAGGACAUCAAUUCUCCUGCAGACUUCAGGUGUUUUUUGGUGUCUGUUAUGUAUCAUUGCGUGGGAUUCCAUUUCUCAAACAGCAAGAAAACAAUCAGUGAGACAUACUCAGAGGGACAGCAUUCUUUAAAAAAGGAACAAGGACAAGCCCCCAAGUGUCAAACACCGUUUUUUCUUAUUUUUUGGAAGAGAUGAAUUACCCUUUCCAUCACCCAAGCAGUCCUUUCCACCUGGAAGAACACCUGCAGCCAGCAGACAUCAGCAACUCAGUGUGAGAAGGCAUAUCUUUGGCUGGAUGAGGCAAUGCUCUGGGCUGGACCUCAGACCAUAAGGAGGUCCUGAUGCUGAGGAGCUCCAUGAGAGACCAGCGGGGAAAGGGUUAAGAGGAGCAGCUCUGAUCUGACAAACAGUAUGGCUGGAAAGCCUCAAAGGCUCUGUAACACGUGAGCUGGCAUAUGUCGUCUCCUUGUGUGGCUGGGUGGGUUGCAGUGUGAGUGAUGAUGCAUUGGCAUGUAGAAGCCACUGCAGACAUCAGAAGUGCCAUCUGUAUUCUUGUGUGACAACUGUCCCUUGUCGGAGGCUGUCCCACAUGCACUUCCUGAACCUGCCCAUGUUACUUAGGUUGUUAUCACUCCCCAGAAAUGCUUACCUAAUCUGUUCUUAAAAUUGGAGCACAAAUGCAGUCUUGCUGUGUUCUUUCUAUUCCUUUUCUUAGAAGGAGAUCUGGCCCACUUGUGGGGAUCACAGCUCAGACCCAGUACAUUUCAAAUCCCUAACUAUAUUACAGAAUUACUGCCAACGCCCUGUUUCCUACAUGCUAUACACACCUGAAUUUCUUCAGCAGGUUGUCUUAUCUGAUUAGGUACAACGAGUUCAAGGAAAAUCAAAGCCACAUAUUCCCUGCAGCUUCCUGGGAACUCUCAGCUGGUACUGAGGAAAACAUUCUCUUUGUUCAUCCAGAGAUGGGAACUGUAAUGCCAUCCCUUAACCCUGUAGGAAGAAAAUGUAGUGGAAUUAUUGCCACUCAAGGAUACGUUCUCCAGGAUGGCUUUUGGUGACAUUGGCAGGAAGAGCUCCUGAGUAUUGCCUGUGACCAAGGGUUUGGUGCUUUGUCCAUCUGUUUCUUGCCUGCAGCAAACACAAGGCAUAAGAGACAUAUGGUAGCACAGCCUACGCUGACUCCUUGUCAAGUCCAGCUUUAUUUUUAUUUGAAACAGAUAAAUACAUACCAAGGCCCUCCGUCCUGCACGAAAAGGUACCGUGACAACAUUUAUGCUGUCUACAGUGACUUCCAAAAGAAGAUCUUAGCAUUCAGCACAGCAUUCCUAGAAGUGUCAGGCACAUA